rnacentral:rRNA from 1 species
AGCGAACGCUGGCGGCAGGCCUAACACAUGCAAGUCGAGCGCCGUAGCAAUACGGAGCGGCAGACGGGAGAGUAACACGUGGGAACGUACCCUUUGGUUCGGAACAACCCAGGGAAACUUGGGCUAAUACCGGAUAAGCCCUCACGGGGAAAGAUUCAUCGCCGAAGGAUCGGCCCGCGUCUGAUUAGCUAGUUGGUGGGGUAAUGGCCACCCAAGGCGACGAUCAGUAGCUGGUCUGAGAGGAUGAUCAGCCUCACUGGGACUGAGACACGGCCCAGACUCCUACGGGAGGCAGCAGUGGGGAAUAUUGGACAAUGGGCGCAAGCCUGAUCCAGCCAUGCCGCGUGGGUGAUGAAGGCCCUAGGGUUGUAAAGCCCUUUCGGCGGGGAAGAUAAUGACGGUACCCGCAGAAGAAGCCCCGGCUAACUUCGUGCCAGCAGCCGCCGUAA